AAAUGCUUGUACUAAUACUAUGUAAUUUUAAUGGUAGAUUGUUAGGUCAUUUCAAGUCCCUUAUAGGGAACAAAUCACAGGCAGAAGGAUGUAUAGCUGAAGGUCAAAAAAUUAAAGAAAAUCUAAAUCUUUCUUCUCGUUAUUUUGAGGAUAUCGAAUCGAGGGUAAAUAGGCCUAAACGAGUAAAUGAUGAAACAAAUCAUAAUGAGGUUCCUGAAAGGUCAUCUAUGUUUCCUUGACAAGGUGAAUUUGUCGGAGGCUUCAUAACAUUUCCUUUGACUCAUUUGGAGAAAACUCAAGCUCAUCGAUAUGUAUUACUUAAUUGCGCUUCAGCAAAGCCAUUUAUUGACGAAUUUAGGCAACACAUUAAAAGGAGUUCAAGAGGCAGAAAACCUUCGGUAACAUAGGUAGAAAAGAGAACUAAUAGAGAGUUUUCUGAUUGGUUUCCUAACCGGAAAUGGCAAAGACCAAGCGCUGGCAGAACUUGCAAUUCUCAGUUCAAACACAACCUACAUUGUCAGCUCAUCCCAACGCUUAACCAACCACGUCACAGUUGAUUUCAUCAGUACAGGCGAAAAGAUAGAUGACUUCCUCAGUUCAGGGUACAUCACAGCCGGUUCCGUCAACUCAGGCUGCAUCACAGUCUAUUUCCUCAAAUCAGGUUGUAUCACAUUCGACUUCAUCAAGUCAAGCCGAAUCACAAUCAAAAUUAUUUAGGAAGUGUGUUGUUGGACGUGAGUCUAUGGAGUAUUGGAUCAUAGAAGCAAUAGGAAAUGUGCAACAGAACUGAUGAAAGUCGAAAGAAACAAAUCAUUCCACACACAGGUGGAUCCAAAGCUAACUCUAGAAGAAGGGUUGAAAUGGUUAAAUAUUUUAGUUCUUUUCAUUUUAUUUAAUUAUCAAGAUAACUUAUUUUUUAAUUAUUUUUAAUUAGUUAUGUUAUUCUAAGUUGAUUGUUUUACUUAUAUAUGGUUGAGACCGGUCAAAUGCCUGCACAAGCAGAACUUUAUCUUGCUACUCAUAAGAAUGUAGAUGGAGCAUAUGUUUAUGAAGCGGCAAAAGUUAUCAGUCCAGGUGAUGUUAGUGAUAGUAAUCGUAGUGAACCCCGCUGAAGUUUCAUGAAAAGUUGUAGAUCCUUUAUUGAGUUUGGAUGCUAGUGAUCUAAAGUUAAAGCAAUUUUUUGUAGUGAUUUGAAGUUCAAGCAAGUUUUUGUAGUGAUUGAAAGUUUCUUGUAAUAAUAUGGUUGAAGUGAAUAAUAUGUUCCAAUUAAGUUUGUAGAACUAAUAGUACACUUUAUGA